rnacentral:rRNA from 1 species
CCUACGGGUGACAGCAGUGAGGAAUAUUGGUCAAUGGCCGGAAGGCUGAACCAGCCAUGCCGCGUGAAGGUCAGUGCCCCAUGGGCGUGUAACUUCUUUUGUGCGGGAGCAAUAAUGGUCACGUGUGGCCAGACGAGAGUACCGUACGAAUAAGCAUCGGCUAACCCCGUGCCAGCAGCCGCGGUAAUACGGGGGAUGUAAGCGUUUUCCGGAUUUAUUGGGUUUAAAGGGUGCGUAGGCUGUGCGGUAAGGCAGCGGUGAAAUGCCCCCGGUCAACGGGGUGAAGUGCCAUUGAUACUGCCUUGCUGGAGUGCGGAUGCGGUGGGCGGAAUGUGUGGUGUAGCGGUGAAAUGCAUAGAUAUCACACAGAACACCGAUUGCGAAGGCAUCUCACGGAUCCGAGAUUGACGCUGAUGCACGAAAGCGUGGGUAUCGAACAGGAUUAGAUACCCGUGUAGUC